rnacentral:rRNA from 1 species
GUGGGGAAUAUUGGACAAUGGGCGAAAGCCUGAUCCAGCCAUGUCGCGUGUGUGAAGAAGGUCUUCGGAUUGUAAAGCACUUUAAGUUGGGAGGAAGGGCAGUAAGUUAAUACCUUGCUGUUUUGACGUUACCGACAGAAUAAGCACCGGCUAACUUCGUGCCAGCAGCCGCGGUAAUACGAAGGGUGCAAGCGUUAAUCGGAAUUACUGGGCGUAAAGCGCGCGUAGGUGGUUCAGUAAGUUGGAAGUGAAAUCCCCGGGCUCAACCUGGGAACUGCUUUCAAAACUGCUGAGCUAGAGUACGGUAGAGGGUGGUGGAAUUUCCUGUGUAGCGGUGAAAUGCGUAGAUAUAGGAAGGAACACCAGUGGCGAAGGCGACCACCUGGACUGAUACUGACACUGAGGUGCGAAAGCGUGGGGAGCAAACAGGAUUAGAUACCCGGGUAGUCC